rnacentral:rRNA from 1 species
UGGGGAAUCUUGCGCAAUGGGCGAAAGCCUGACGCAGCAACGCCGCGUGCGGGAUGAAGGCCUUCGGGUUGUAAACCGCUUUCAGCAGGGACGAAAUUGACGGUACCUGCAGAAGAAGCCCCGGCCAACUACGUGCCAGCAGCCGCGGUAACACGUAGGGGGCAAGCGUUGUCCGGAUUUAUUGGGCGUAAAGAGCUCGUAGGCGGCUCAGUAAGUCGGGUGUGAAACCUCCAGGCUCAACCUGGAGACGCCACCCGAUACUGCUGUGGCUAGAGUCCGGUAGGGGAGCGUGGAAUUCCUGGUGUAGCGGUGAAAUGCGCAGAUAUCAGGAGGAACACCAGCGGCGAAGGCGGCGCUCUGGGCCGGUACUGACGCUGAGGAGCGAAAGCGUGGGGAGCAAACAGGAUUAGAUACCCCUGUAGUCC